rnacentral:rRNA from 1 species
UCCGUAGGUGGGCGAUUAAGUCAGUGGUGAAAUCCUGCAGCUCAACUGUAGAAUUGCCUUUGAUACUGGUCGUCUUGAGUCGCUGUGAAGUGGUUGGAAUAUGUAGUGUAGCGGUGAAAUGCAUAGAUAUUACAUAGAACACCUAUUGCGAAGGCAGAUCACUAACAGCGUACUGACACUGAUGGACGAAAGCGUGGGAGCGAACA